UACGUAGGGUCCAAGCGUUAUCCGGAAUCACUGGGCGUAAAGCGUGCGUAGGCGGGUGUUUAAGUGCAAUGCGAAAUCCUGUGGCUCAACCAUAUGGACUGUAUUGCAUACUGGAUACCUGGAGGAAUGCAGAGGCAAGUGGAAUUACCGGUGUAGCAGUGAAAUGCGUAGAGAUCGGUAGGAACACCAAUGGCGAAGGCAGCUUGCUGGGCAUUUUCUGACGCUAAGGCACGAAAGCGUGGGGAGCGAACAGG
rnacentral:rRNA from 1 species